AUUGAACGCUGGCGGCAUGCCUUACACAUGCAAGUCGAACGGCAGCACGGGAGCAAUCCUGGUGGCGAGUGGCGAACGGGUGAGUAAAGCAUCGGAACGUGCCCAGUCGUGGGGGAUAACGUAGCGAAAGCUACGCUAAUACCGCAUACGAUCUGUGGAUGAAAGCGGGGGACCGUAAGGCCUCGCGCGAUUGGAGCGGCCGAUGUCAGAUUAGGUAGUUGGUGAGGUAAAGGCUCACCAAGCCGACGAUCUGUAGCUGGUCUGGGAGGACGACCAGCCACACUGGGACUGAGACACGGCCCAGACUCCUACGGGAGGCAGCAGUGGGGAAUUUUGGACAAUGGGCGCAAGCCUGAUCCAGCAAUGCCGCGUGCAGGAUGAAGGCCUUCGGGUUGUAAACUGCUUUUGUACGGAGCGAAACGGCUUCCACUAAUACUGGGGGCUAAUGACGGUACCGUAAGAAUAAGCACCGGCUAACUACGUGCCAGCCGCCGCGGUAA
rnacentral:rRNA from 1 species